GACGAACGCUGGCGGCGUGCCUAAUACAUGCAAGUCGAGCGGACGAAUCGAAAGCUUUCUCUUGAUUCGUUAUCGGCGGACGGGUGAGUAACACGGGGUCAACCUGCCCUGUAGACGGGGAUAACACCGACAAAUCGUUUCUAAUACCGGAUAACACGAAAUGUCGCAUUACGCUUCGUUUAAAGACGCCGCAUGCUGUCGCAACAGGAUGGGCCCGCGGCGCUUUAGCUAGUUGGGGAGGGAACGGGUCACCACAGCGAGGAUGGGUAGCCGACCUGAGAGGGUGAUCGGACACACUGGCACUGAGACAGGGCACAGACACCUACAGGAAGACGCAGCAGAGACUCUUACGCGAGGGAGGAGUGUCUGACAGAGCAAAGCGGCGUGAGGGCAGAAGGAGUUAUGGUCGUAAAGUGAUGUUGUUAGGAAGGAAGAAGAGCCGCAGUACCUGGCAUUACAGUGACGGUACCUAAAGAGAAAGCCACGGCUAACUACGUG
rnacentral:rRNA from 1 species